UGGUAAGCAACAAAAUCAUUGCCUAUCGAAUAAAACUUUGGCCCCUGACAGAAUGUUCAUAAAUAUAUGAACAUGAAAUUUGUAUUAGAAUAAGUGGAACAAAAUAAUAUACAGUUCACUAAAUAUCAAGUGAAAUGCUCGCCUAGCUGGUCAAAGUUCGUAAAUGAAUAAUUGAGCAGGCGCUGACUCUUUGGAAGCCCGUCUAGUGAACCCGUUGGUAGGGACAGAAGCCACUUUUAGCGUACAUAAGUGCACAGUUACCUUUUUUUACGUUCCUGGAACGUCACUUAAACGCUAUCAACGACUUUUGAAUUUGGCUUCUGCAUUGGAUGGUAAGGACGAAAUUAUUUGGUGUCGAACAGUUGGUUCACCAAACCCCAACAUCACAUGGAUUUACAACGGUAAGCUACGGUGGCUGAGGACAAUUAUUCGCAGCCAUAAGCCGUUAUGUUUCGGUAUAUAUUUAUAGCAUAAAAAUAUCUUAGACUUCGGUUAAUAACUUAGAAGAAGGCAUAUGCACUAUGUUUUUUUGGAUGGUUAUGUAGAUGAAUACAUAAUAUAUAUACAAAUUUGUGUCCAAUAAGAUAUUGUAAAAAAACAAGUAAGGAAGGACUAAGUUCGGGUGUAACCGAACAUUUUAUACUCUCGCAAUUUAUUGAUGUAAUUUUAUAAAGAUAACACAAGUCGACCCAUAUAUUCUGCAUAAAAUUCAAUAGAAUAACGAAAAUCAUCAUAAAUAGUAUAUGGGGACUGAGGUAAUUCCUAAACCGAUUUCACUCUUUUUCACCACCAAGAUACAAUAUAUCGAAGACUUUACGCUCACUUAAUUUAAU